rnacentral:lncRNA from 1 species
AUAUGAAAUUAUAACAUUAAUUCCCACCUAUGUUAAUUUUGCCAUUGACUUAUGAACUAAUUUUCAAAUUUAUUUUGAAAUUAAUCAUACCUUCUAGUUCAAGGACCUUCAUGGAUUCUGAAUGUAAAAGAAUCCCAAUGAUUUUAUCUCUUCAGAAAACAUAAAUAUAAAUUGUAUUCAAAUAUGCAUAUUACACAAAGAUGCAUUACACAUAUUGCAAGAGACAUUCACACAUAUUUUUGGUUGGUGAUUUAGCCUGAAUUUGCUAACAAUGGCAUGGUGUCUACUUUGAUUUUGUUUAGCUGGAAUAAUCAAGUAUUAGUCCAUUCUUUCACUGCUAUUAAAUACCUGAGACUGGGUAGUUUAUAGGGAAAAGAAGAUUAAUUGGCUGAAGGUUCUGCAGACUGUAUGAGAAGCAUAGUGGCUUCUGAGAAAACCUCAGGAAAGUUAGAAUCAUGGUGGUGUAGGAGGACUAGCCACAGACAAAACCACUCAGACACCGGGUUAAGAAGGAAGUGGCUUUAUUUGGCCAGGAGCAUCAGCAGACUUGCAUGUCAAGAACUGAGCUCUCUGAAGAAAGAGUUCCUGGCCCUUUUAAGAACUUACAACUCUAAGGGGUUCACGUGAAAGGGUUGUGAUAGAUUGACAUUCAGAGAUAGCAUAUGUGAUUAGAGGGGGGCUAAUCUUUAACCUCUCUCUUCAUUCCCCCAUUUGAGAACCUUACUCACUAGUGGGAGGUCUCACUCUCAUCUUCACUACCCAGGUCUUUCUGCAAGACAGAUCGACAGUGAUUCAUGUAAUACACUUGUGUAUUACAAGACAUUCAUGUAAUACAUUUGUGCUGAAGUUUUCUGAUGAACCAAGGUAGUAACAAAACUUCUUAGAAGUUGGAGAAAUAUGGGUAACAAACAAAGGAGCAAUAGGAGGGUUGCAGCUGGAGAUCUGGGGAGGAGCUGGUGUUUUUUAGUUUGAGGGUCAUGCAGCUAUAGACCCUGGGAGGAGCAGGAGUUUCUUUAGUUUGAGGGUUGGGCAGCUGCAGAACCCGGGAGAAUCUGAUGUUCUGGUUUGAGGGUCCUGCAGCUGGAGACCCAGAGAGCAGCUGGUGUUUCUUUAGUUUGAUGGCCGUGCAGCUGUAGAACCCAGGGGGAGCUGGUAUUUUUCUAGUAUGAGUGUCCUGCAGCUGGAGACCUGGAGAAGAGCUGAUGUUCUAGUUUGAGGGUCGUGCCGCUGAAGACUCAGGGAGAAGCUGAUGUUCUCGUUUGAGGAUACUGCAGCUGGAGACCUGGAGAGGAGCUGAUGUUAUUCUAGUUUGAGGAUCAUGGAGCUUGAGAUCCACAGAGGAGCAGGUAUUGUUCUAGAUUGAGGUUCAUGUAGCUGAAGACCUGGGGAGCAGCGGGUGUUUUUUAGUUUGAGGGUCAUGCAGCUGUAGAACCCGGGAGGAGCUGGUGUUUUUCUAGUAUGAGUGUCCUGCAGCUGGAGACCUGGAGAGGAGCUGAUGUUGUUCUAGUUUGAGGGUUGUGCAGCUGAAGACUUGGAGGGGAGCUGAUGUUGUUCUUGUUGAGGGUCUUUCAGCUGGAGACCCAGAGAGGAGCUGAUGUGGUUCUAGUUUAAGGGUCAUGGAGCUGGAGACCCAGAGAGGAGCUGGUGUUGUUCUGAUUUGAGGUUCAUGCAGCUGGAGACAUGGAGAGGAGCGGGUGUUUCUUUAGUUUGAGAUUCAUGCAGCUGUAGAACCGGGGAAGAGCUGGCGUUUUUCUAGUAUGAGUGUCCUACAGCUGGAGACCAGGAGAGGAGCUGAUGUUCUAGUUUGAGAGCCAUGCGACUGGAGAUGCAAAGAGGAGCUGAUUUGGUUCUAGUUUGAGGGUCAUGGAGCUGGAGACCCAGAGAGGAGCUGGUGUUUCUUUAGUUUGAGGGUCAUACAGCUGUAGAACCCAUGAGGAGCUUGCAUUUUUCUAGUGUGAGUGUCCUGCAGCUGAAGACCUGGAGAAGAGCUGAUGCUUUCAAUUGAGGGUUGUGCAGCUUAAGACUCAGGGAGGAGCUGAUGUUCUAGUUUGAGGGCCAUGAGCUUAAGACCCGGGGAUGAGCUGAUGUUGUUCUGGUUUGAGGUUCAUGCACCUGGAGACCUGAGGAGGAGCGGUUGUUUUUUAGUUUGAGGGUCGUGCAACAGUAGAACCUGGGAGGAGCUUGUGUUUUUCUAGUAUGAGUGUCCAGCAGCUAGAGACCCAGAGAGGAGCCGAUGUUCUAGGUUGAGGGUGGUGCAGCUGAAGACUCGGGAAGGAGCUAAUGUUCUAGUUUGAGGGCCGUGAUCUGGGGACUUGGAGAGGAGCUGAUGUUGUUCUAGUUUGAGGGUCGUGCAGCUGAAGACGGGGGAGGGUUCUAGUUUGAGUGCCCUGCAGCUGAAGACUCGGGAAGGAGCUGAUGUUGUCCUUGUUUUACGAUCUUUCAGCUGGAGACUCAAAGAGGAGCUGAUGUUGUUCUAAUUUGAGUGUAAUGGAGCUGGAGACCCGGGGUGGAGCUGAUGUUGUUCUAGUUUGAGUGUUGUGCAGCUGGAGAUCCAAGAAGGAGGUGGUCUUGUGGUUCAAAUCUGAGGGUCCUGGAGCUGGAAUCUAUGGGAGGAGUCAAUGCUGCCACUGAUGUCUUAGAUUGUGCAGCAGAAGACCCACAGAGGAGCCGGUGUUGGUGUUCUAGUGUGAGGGUGUGGAUCUGGAGAUCCAUGGGGGAGUGACGUUCUUCUAGUUUUUGGGUUGUGGUGUUGGUGUUCUAGUGUGAGGGUCAUGGAUCUGGAGAUCCAUGGGGGAGUGGUGUUCUUCUAGUUUGUGGGUUGUGGUGCUGGAGACCCAGGGAGGAGCUGAUUCUUUUGUUGUUUAAGUCUGAAGGUCGUCAAGCUGGAGAUCCGGGGAAGAGCUGGUGCUGCGAUUCAAGUCUGAGGGUCCUGGAGCUUGAGACCCCAGGAGGAGAUGGUGCUGCCACUAAUGUCUUAGAUUGUAAAGCUGGAGAUCUGUGGAGGAGCUGGUGUUUCUGUUCUAGUGUAAGGUUUGUGGAUCUGGAGUCCCAGGGGUGAGCAGUGUUGUUUUAGUUUGAGGGUCAUGGAGUUAGAGACCCGGGGAGGAGCUGAUGUUGUAGUUUGAGGGUCGUGCAGCUGGAGACCCAGGGAGGAGCUGGUGUGUUUCUAGUUGGAGGGUUGUGGAGCUGGAGAUUCAC